ensembl:lncRNA
AGCCCUUUCUUUCAUUAUUCUGAUUAGAAACAGCCCCAGAGGUGACGUGAUUUGCCCAAAGUCGUGCAACUUCCUGGAACAAGAAGCCAAUCGGAAGACGCCCAUGCUGCUGUUCUUUCCGUGUUAUCAGGUUACCCCAGAGCCUUAGGAUCUGCUUUUGAAACGCAAAGGCGAGGUCGCCCAGGGAGAGCCACGGGAGGGAAACUUACUCGGAUUUGCUAACUGCUUUUGGCAGGGGAUGGGGCCGGAGAAGGGGGGAGGGUGUAACCUGCUUCCCCCCCAAAAACAUAAUGUGAACAGCUUUUAAAUUGCUUUAUGAGAUCAUGAAUUCUAGUGAGUGCAUCUUCCGAGGAGGCUGGGAACUUACCUGUUUUGUUUACCCAGCCAAGGGCCUAAUGCAGAGCAGGGCCUUAAUAAAAAUGUACCGCAUGGAUGGCCGCGGGGCUGGCCGCAGCCCACUCCACCAUAGAGCUGUAGGAGGUUUGGGGGAGCCAAGCCCCACCUGGGAGGCACGUAAGUCCUUUCCAGUUUUUCUCAAUUGUGGCUUUGCAACGAAUAUCCUUUGUUCAUAAAUCCUUGACUGCAUCUCUUGAUUAUUUCCUUAGGAUAUUUUCCUAGAAGUGGGAUUACUGGGUUGAAGGGUAUGCACAUAUUUAAGGCUCUUGAUUCAGAACCCUCCAGCAGUGCAAGAAUGAGUCAGCUUCCCAGCAUCCUGGCCAAACCUGGGUGUUAUCAGGCUUCAUUUUUAUUUUUUGCCCUCUUGAUAGAACAAAAAUGAUAUUUUAUUUGCAUCUCUUUGUGGACUAAUUAGAUGGAGAUUGAACUAAUUUUAAGAAAACACUCUAAGGAGCUCAGAGAAAUCCUGUGUGGGGCAAGAGACCAGUAAACUAGGCAUCUUCUGCCCAGUGAGGUGAAACCUGAGGACCCCUCUUGUCUGGAGUGAUUUGACCCGAAGAUGUAAACAUGUGAGCCUUGCUAGGGAGCCUUCCUCUGAGGCAGGGAGCGGGCACUGUGACUAACUAGCUUCCCUGUGUUUGUAAUUUUCAUUUCCUGAUGAGGACUAAAUGUUAUAAAACAAAUGGAAAACCUGUGUACGUAUCUUUAGGGGCAGCAAGAAAAGGUAGAAAUGGGAAAACGAUUUUAACUUCGAGUCCUGGAGAAGGGGGAAGGGUGGGUGGAGAAGUUCAAAGGAUGCUUCCAGAAGAAGGGAGGAGAUGCAAACACCAACCACCCUGAACCAGACCAAGCCUCACCACCAGAGCUCUGCCUAUGACCUCUGCCUUAUUUUCAAUGCUAGGAUCUCUCCAGGAGGAGCUUAGGCCUCGUUACCGUAACCUGCAGUGUAUGUGCAAGCAUGUUUUCUAACUGAGCCUGCGCAAGUGAAUACCCACCUCUCCCUUUUGAAUAUUCAUUCCCAUCUGAAAUAAAUGUCCCUGCUUCCCUUUGUUCGGGGAUGUCAUGACUAUGGAGAUGAUUCCUCAUGGUCUCCUAUUCGCUGCAAAUGUACUUUACCUUAUGAGACAACUACUUCUGGUGGAGAGUCUGAUCCAACUCGCCAGGAGGGAACCCACUUUGUCUCGGUAACAGUUCUACCAAGUUAUUCAAGCCAGGAACCUGGGAGUGACCCAUUCAUUCAUUUAAAGCACUGGGGAUACCAGAGUCUGCAAAAGAAGAAUCCCUGCCCUUGUUGAAUUUAUAUUCUAGAAGGGGAAGACAGACAAUAAGCAAUCAGUCCCUCGUCCGAGUGGUUAAGUUUGCACGCUCCGCUUCGACGGCCCAGGGUUUCACUGGCUCCGAUCCUGAGCGCAGACAUGGCACUGCUCGUCAGGCCACGCUGAGGCAGCAUCCCACAUGCCACAACUAAAAAUAUACAACUAUGUACUGGCGGGCUUUGGGGAGAAAGAAAAAAAAAAGAUUGGCAACAGAUGUUAGCUCAGGUGCCAAUCUUUAAAAAAAAAAUCAGUCCCCAUAUCUAACAGAUCCCAACUUCUUAAUAUCUCUAGACUCCAUCUGUCUUUCCAGUCACAACCUGAGUUCAAAACCCCGCAAUGGCCUCCGUCUUUCUGUCUUAUUCCCUCCAACCCAUUCACCCCACAGCAGUGUAAUCUCUCUAAAGCCAAAUAUUAAAUUUCUCUUCCAGCUUUAAGCUCUCUAUCCCUCAAAAAUAAAGUCCACCUUCACAAAUCUGGGUGAAAAAGGUUUACACCCUCUGGGCCCCUGCUUGCUUCUCCACCACUGGUCUCCACCUGCGUGAAUCACUCCCUGCUCAGCCGCACUGAGUUACAGCUGCAGGUCACUGCACCUGCCAUUCCGGACGCCCUCCCUCCCCUCCUGCCUGGCUAACUCCUGUCCACUCUUCAGGUCUCAGCUUGGCUACUGCGACAGGCAGCCUCUAAGAUGGUCCCCCUUGAUCUCUGCCUCCUCGUAUUCAUUCCCUUGAAUGUGAGCUGGAUUUCCUGAUGUGAUUCUGAAAAAUAGACUAUGGCAGAAAAGAUGAGAUGUCACUCCUGACGUUAGGGUCCAUAAAGACUGUGGCUUCUUUCUUGGGGCUCUCUCUCUCACUUGCUUGCUCUGUGGUAAGCCAGCUGCCAUGUUUGAACUGCCUUGUAACAAGGGCCACGGAACAGAGGGAGGUCUCCAGCCAACAGCUGUGAGGAACUGAACCCUUCUAGCAACCACGUGAAUGAGCCUGGAAUCGGGCCCUCCACCGGCUGAGCCUUCAGAUGAGAUGGUAGCCUCAGCCGACAGCAUAACUGCAACCUCAUGAAAGACCUUCAGCCAGGAGGCACCCAGCUAAACCACGCCUGGAUUCCUGACCCAAAGAAACUGAGAUAAUAAACAGUCGUUGUUGUAAGCG